rnacentral:tRNA from 1 species
GAGGGUAUAGCUCAAGCAGUAGAACGCAUGUUUAGCAUGCACAAGAUCCUGGGUUCAAUCCCCAGUACCUCCA